rnacentral:rRNA from 1 species
GAUGAACGCUGGCGGCGUGCCUAAUACAUGCAAGUCGAGCGAACGGACGAGAAGCUUGCUUCUCUGAUGUUAGCGGCGGACGGGUGAGUAACACGUGGAUAACCUACCUAUAAGACUGGGAUAACUUCGGGAAACCGUAGCUAAUACCGGAUAAUAUUAUGAACCGCAUGGUUCAAAAGUGAAAGACGGUCUUGCUGUCACUUAUAGAUGGAUCCGCGCUGCAUUAGCUAGUUGGUAAGGUAACGGCUUACCAAGGCAACGAUGCAUAGCCGACCUGAGAGGGUGAUCGGCCACACUGGAACUGAGACACGGUCCAGACUCCUACGGGAGGCAGCAGUAGGGAAUCUUCCGCAAUGGGCGAAAGCCUGACGGAGCAACGCCGCGUGAGUGAUGAAGGUCUUCGGAUCGUAAAACUCUGUUAUUAGGGAAGAACAUAUGUGUAAGUAACUGUGCACAUCUUGACGGUACCUAAUCAGAAAGCCACGGCUAACUACGUG